GACGUAGGAUGCAAGCGUUGUCCGGAAUUAUUGGGCGUAAAGAGUUCGUAGGCGGUUACUUAAGUCUGGUGUUAAAGACGGGAGCUCAACUCCCGCAUGGCAUUGGAAACUGGGUGACUAGAGUGCGGUAGAGGUAUCGGGAAUUCCAGGUGUAGCGGUGAAAUGCGUAGAUAUCUGGAGGAACACCAGUGGCGAAAGCGCGAUACUGGGCCGUAACUGACGCUGAGGAACGAAAGCCAGGGGAGCAAAAGGG
rnacentral:rRNA from 1 species